rnacentral:misc_RNA from 1 species
UAGGGAGACCUAAUCCAUUUAGAAAUCGAAAACAAUGAAAAUUGUCAAUAGAAACUAAAUUGGUCUAACCUAGGUCGUUCGAGAUUGGUAGACAUCUUUCAAAGUAUUAUUCGGCUUCGUUCAAAACCAUAUAUAAUAAAUGGAAAAAGACAGCACCUAAUUGUCAAAGUUAGACUGCUGGAUGAAGUUCCAGCCAGAACCUUGAAAACUGCAUAAGAGAACAAGAAAAAGCAGGCAGACACAGACAUUUAGAUGGAUGUGGAUGCAAAAGAAAUUGU